rnacentral:lncRNA from 1 species
CUCUUUUACAAUGCUGUUUGGGUUCCAGUUUCCCCGGCGGUGAAAUCCUACUCCUCUCUCAAGGUUAUACAUCUUGAGCAUUGCUACCCUUACAAACAAUUCCUCCGUCUCUCUGGGCUUGUGGCUUCUAAUGCAGGUAGCAAAUCUCCUUCCUGACAGACGUUUCUGCACACUGGAGAUGAAGCUUUCAGGGGCUGAGAUGACCAGAGAGUGCUAUCAGCCUCCAGAGGGCAGGUGGCAAAGAUGACAAGGUCUUGGCAAAGCACAGGACACACUGCCACAGCGAGAUGUUACAGCAGUGGUGUAUAAGGACCUUAUCUUCACUCUCUUCAUUCGAAAGGAGCCUGCCAACUACUUCUGCACAAAGCAUGCAAGGGAAAGAUCACUGACAUCUUAGAGCUUUUAAAGAUGCUUUUAAACUCACAUGCUGACAAAGGAAAGGAUCAUGAACUAUUACAGAAAGGAACAACGUGUGCGUCAUGUGUGCGGUGGUGCACAUGUGCAGACCAGAGCGAAACAGCAGGUGUCUUAUCUGUAUCACACUCUCUGCUACUAAGACAGGGUCUCUCACUGACACAGCUAGCCAGCUGGCCAGGGAGCUCUUGGGACCUGCGCCCGUCCUCCUGCCCAGUGCCAGAUACAGGUAUGACGCCUACAUCAUGCUCCACCUUUUAUAUGGGUGCUGGGGAUUCCAAAACCACACGAAGGGAACUCCCAGUAGAACUUUUUGUCUGGAUUCAUCACUGUGGCCCAAACACUUGUCGAGCAAUCAGGCCAAUAAACAGAUGUACAGUGAAGGAACCCAGCAAUCAUAGCGACAGCAGAAGCACGCAUCUACACUGCGUAUUUCAACUGUAAGAUAAGCUGACAACCAAGUAUCUUAAGAAUACGAGAGAAACACUUACCUUUGACGACAAAACCAUUUAAAGACUGUUUCAGCUUGAGAGGAAAGUCACAGUGUGACAUAUAAACAUGUCUUCCUAUUUCCUUCCUGAGGUCUUACACUUUCAUCAAACUGAUUAAACUUUGCAUCUCUUUUUAUCUCAACAGCCGUGCUUUCCUUCAAGUUAAACUUGAGAUACAGAAGUUGGAACGUUGUUUAAAACAGAUAAUGUGCCUAUUAUGAAUACAUUUUUCAAAAAGUAAUUAAGAACCUGUCUGUAACAUCUGCUUCAAAUCUACUCAAAUGCUGGGCUGUGAAUUUACGUCUCUAUUCAGUAUUACAAUAAAAAGCAAGAACUUGUUAUUAAAAUAGAGUACAGGUGACCACACUCUGAGGCGUGGCUUUUGAAGCUCUGCCUCUGGAGUUUCCUGUGCCCAGGCCUGAGAUGUGGAAUGGAGUUUGUGUGUUUUUUUCUCGUCUUUAUUGUCUUGUUUUCAGCUCUGGUUUCAGCCAAUCAUUUAAGUCACCAAUCAUUUAAGUCACUAGCUUACACAAUAAAUCAUUAUCAUAAAAAUCUCAAGACCAACAUAGUCAACUGACCUGGACCCUUGGGGGCUCCCGGAGACGGAACCAUCAACCAAAGAGCAUGGUGG